rnacentral:rRNA from 1 species
UCUCUCUGAAUCUGCGUACGGCUCCGCAAACCAGUUGUAAACUAUAGCAAGCAAUCCUGCGGGCGGCUUCGGCUGCUCGUGGGUAACAUGGAUAACCCUGGUAAUUCUGAGGCUAAUACAAGAACGUACUCCCUGGCUGACCGGCAACGGAAGGCUGGGGAGCGUGCAACGUAUCGUAGGGAUAAACCGGGAAUGGGUGCACGCUUGGACCGCGCUAAAGACAGAUCUCGGCGAGCCUUCGGGUGAGCCUUGGCCUGAGCGGCUCUUGCUGUGUGCUUCUGACCUAUCAACUAGACGGCAGCGUAAGGGACAUGCUAUGGUUACAACGGGUACAGAGGAUUAGGGUUCGAUCCUGGAGAGUGGGCCUGAGAGAUCUCC